CUCCUUUGACGUUAGCGGCGGACGGGUGAGUAACACGUGGGUAACCUACCUAUAAGACUGGGAUAACUUCGGGAAACCGGAGCUAAUACCGGAUAAUAUUUCGAACCGCAUGGUUCGAUAGUGAAAGGUGGUUUUGCUAUCACUUAUAGAUGGACCCGCGCCGUAUUAGCUAGUUGGUAAGGUAACGGCUUACCAAGGCGACGAUACGUAGCCGACCUGAGAGGGUGAUCGGCCACACUGUAACUGAGACACGGUCCAGACUCCUACGGGAGGCAGCAGUC
rnacentral:rRNA from 1 species